rnacentral:rRNA from 1 species
UUAAAAGGUUAGUUGUGAAAUUCAAUUUAAUUUGAAAUUUUAUAAUUAUUAAGGUUUUAUUUAAAAAAUAAUUUAAAAUAAGUAAAUUCAAUUUUUAUUAAAAAUAAGAAAAAAUUAAAUUUAUUAUAGUUAAUUAGUAUUGUGAAAGAAUUUAGAGAUUAUAUUAAAAAAAAAUUUAGUUUUUGUACCUUGUGCAUCAGGGUUUAUUAAAAAAAGUUUAAAAUUUAAUUAUUUCGAAGUUAAAAGAGUUAGAAGAUUAUAGUUUUUAUUGUAAAAUAAAUAUUAAAAAUAAUUUUUUAGUAAUGAAAUGUUAUUCGUUUUUAAAUAUAUCUAAUUUUUUAAGAACUAAAUUUAAUUUAUUUAUUAUUAAUAAAAGUUUCAUUAAUUAAUUUUUGUUAUUAAUAAUUAAUAUUUUUAGGGAUGAGCUUGAAAGUAUAGUUUUAUUAAUUUAUAUUAGGUAUAAAAUUGUAGAAUUAGAAUUUUUAAUCAAUAUAAAAAUGUUAUAAUUAAUUUAUUUAAAAAUAUUAUUUAUAUAAAUUAUAAAUUUUUUAUUAAAAUAUUAAUUUUAAUUUUUAAAAUUAAGUAAUAAUGAUAAAAUUAGUAUAAUUAAAUGUUAUUUGAUUAAUUUUUUUAGGUUAAGUAAAGGAAUUCGGCAAUUAAUUUUUUACCUGUUUAUUAAAAACAUGUCCUUUUGAUAAUAAUUUAAGGUCUGGCCUGCCCACUGAUUAAUUUGAAUGGCCGUGGUAUUUUGACCGUGCUAAGGUAGCAUAAUCAUUAGUUUUUUAAUUAAAAACUGGAAUGAAGGGUUAGAUAAGAAAAUAACUGUCUCUAUUUAAAUUUAUUAUAAUUUUAUUUUUAAGUUAAAAAGCUUAAUUUUUAUUAAAAGACGAGAAGACCCUAUAGAGUUUAAUUAUAAAAUUUCAUGUAAUUUUUUAGAAUUUAUUUAUUAUAUUUAUUAUAUAAUUUUAUUGGGGCGAUUAAAAAAUUUAAUUAACUUUUUUUUAUUAUUACAUUAAUUUAUGAUUUAUUGAUCCAAAAAUUUUGAUUAUAAGAUAAAAUUACCUUAGGGAUAACAGCGUAAUUUUUUUAGAAAGUUCAUAUUGAAAAAAAAGAUUGCGACCUCGAUGUUGGAUUAAAAUGAAUUUUUGGUGUAGAAGCUAGAAUUAUUAGGUCUGUUCGACCUUUAAAAUUUUACAUGAUCUGAGUUUAAACCGGUGUGAGCCAGGUUGGUUUCUAUCUUUAAUAAAGUAAUAUAUUUUAGUACGAAAGGACCAAAUAUU